rnacentral:tRNA from 1 species
AUUCUAUUAGUAUAUAAGUAUAUUUAACUUCCAAUUAAAA